GUUGUUUUCCUUCUGCAUGAAACAGAUGAGUGUGGUGAAUGGAAGUUGAGAAGCCAAAGGGUGGCUGUGUCUGCCCUGCAGGGGCUCAUUUGAUGUUGUCUGAAGACGCUGCCCUUUGGGGGCUGAGGUAAAGCUGUGCCAAGGACAAGGGGCUGGGGCGGGGAGACCUCUGUCACAGUCUGGAGGGACAGGGUCCAGGCAGGAGGGGACCCCCAGGGAGCAUAAGUCAGCCCUGGCCCAGGCACAGAGCCUGUCCCCAGGCACUUUCUGCACUUUUUCCCCUUUGUCCUCCCUGCACCUGGACACUCUGUUGUUAACACCCAGUCUGGAUACAGUUGCACUUGGGGCAAUUGAAGCAAUGGCCCUGGGCUGGGCCAUCCUCUUACAGCCGGCGGGGCUGGCCGCAGAGCUCUCUAGUGAUGGCCAAGGGGAGCAGAGUCCUGGGUGACAGCUGAGACACGGGCAUCCAGGCACCCCCACACACACACACACCGCAGGGGCUAACCCUGGAGUACGGGGGUCUGAUUUGAGGCCAAGGCCAUCAGUGAAUGGACUCUGCAGAGUCAGGGAACAAGGCAGAAAUGAGGCUGAGAGAUCACAUUACCCCAGGAUGUGUUUUACUUCCCUUCCUCCCUGGCAAGGCUCUCCCCCAACCCCCACCAGUUUAUUAACAGCAGCAAGUUAGAUGUUAUUGCAACAUUGUCUCCAAUGUGAGAAGAGAGCAGUGGUAAACAAACUAGCAAGGUUUAAGGAGGUAGUGCAUGCAACAGGGCAAAUGGGCAGCUCAUCAGAAAUGUCUGAUUCUGCGUUCUGACUGACUGGUGCUUCUCCUCCCCCAGCUUCUAGGAUGUUGCUGGGCAAUGGGCUUUCUGGGUGUGAAAUUUGUAAAAAUUCCCCCAAAGUUUUCUUCCCCAAUGUUCUCCCGGGACGUCUCCAGGGGGCAGGCUGGGACCACCUAACUGACGGGGACAUGGGCAGGAUUUUGACGUGCAAACACUGGGCUGUUCUCCAAGGCCUGCUAAGGCUGCUUGUUCCUCCCCCAGCGAACUCCCUGUCUUCCCUUAGGCCUCUUUCACACACACAGGCUAGUGUCUACCUGCCCACCCAACAGAGUGGCCGGCUGCCCUCUGCGAGCCAGGUCUCUCCAGCCCCACACCAGCAGCCCAAGCAAGCCUCCUCGGCCUGGAGGAGCUUCUGGGCCCCACCCAGUGAACUUCCAGUUCUCCAGGAUCGGCCCGUGACCGCCUUCCUCGGGAGUCUCCCUGCCCCAUGGAAACUCCCAGGAUGACGUGUGCUUGCCAGGUGCUGGCAGUGUCCACACCUCCUGGAAAUCACUAGUUCAGUGUUUCAGAUGUCACUUUCAGCGUCGUAGCCUCAGGGCGGAACAUGAACUCAAGUCCUGUGUGCAGCAUGAAGGGCCCCAGUGAGGCAGCGAGGAAAAUGGAACAGGCUCUCUGCCUGGCGUCCCGAGGCGGGAGCCCAGAGGGCGCGGCCGCUGAAGGCAGCGUGACCACUCCCGGACCUUCGGGGGCAGGUGCUUUGGGGACAGGCUCUGAGGAGCCGCGCCUUAUGCUCCCCGUGAGCUGUCCACGCACGGUGGACUGGAGAUGCUCUGCUCUCGGCCCUUCCUGAGAAACCAGCAGAAGAUGGCCCCAGAACCGUCCCCUGCCACCCCCGUGAGAGACCUGCAUUAGUUCUAGCCUUUUUGAAAUAAUUUACCUUAUUGAUUUGAAAGGCAGAGUUACAGAGAGGGAGGGAGGAAGAGAGAAAGGAACAGAAGCACACACGCACACACACACACACAGAGGUCUUCCAAAUAGCCACGAUAGCCAGGGCUAUGCCAGGCUGAAGCCCUGAACCAGGAGUUUCUAUCAGGUCUGCUACGUGGGAGAAGCAGCCUAAACAUCUGGGUCAUCUUCGGAAGCUUUCCCAGGCCCAUUAGCAGGGAGCUGGAUCCGGGGUGAAGCAGCUGAGACUCAAACCAGCACCCAUGUGGAUGCCAGCACUGCACCGCUGGCUUAACCCAUUACACCACAGUGCCAGCCCCACAGGCUCCUGGCUCAAACCAGCCCACCUGGCCAUUGCGGCCACGUGGGGAGUACGCAGAGGAUAGAAGAUCACUUGACUUUUCAAAUAAAUCUUAAAAGAAGCCUGGGCUCCAGCGCUGUGGCAUAGCAGUAAAGCUGCCGCCUGUGACACUGGCGUCCCAUAUUGGGAGGCUGGUUUGGGUCCCUGCUGCUCUGCUUCUGAUCCAGCUCCUUCUAACAUGCCUGGGAAGGCAGAGGAAGAUGGCCAACUACCUGGGGCAUUGCCACCUGCUGGGGAGACCUGGAUGGAGUUUGGGUGCCUGCCUUCAGACGGGCCUAGUCCAGGCAGGGUAGCUAUGGCCUGGGAAAACAGUAGAAGAUGGCCCAAGUCCUGGGACUCCUAUCUCAAUGAGGGAGACCUAGAAGAAGCUCCUGGCUCCUGGAUCAGCACAGCACGGCAUCUGUGGCCAUUUGGGGAGUGGACCAGCAGAUGGAUGACCUCUCUCACUCUCAGCACUUCUGAUCCUGUGUAACUCUGCCUUUCAAAUCAAUCAAUCAAUCAAAGAAUAAAGAGAAAGAAAAAAAACCAUAGAAGUAAGAUUGGUAUUACCUUUACUUAAUGGAAAACAGCAACAAGAGUCAUCAUACUUUAAUAUUUUCGGCUUAAGUAAUGAAACUGUAGUGAGAAUUCCUGGGGUGCUGGUUCUUUCCUCCCAGCCUUGAGGAGGUGACCAGCACUGCAGGAAAUCACGGAGAAAUCGCACCGUGCAAUGUCCCUGGGCAACCGGAGGAGGGGUCACCUCCCCAGGGAGGGUUCCUCUCCCAAGAGGGCUUGGGCAGUCGGUCCAGAGGGAUCACCACGUGUUCCUGGGCCCACGGCUGUGCUGGGCCCUGGGGGCUCCUCAAGAACUGCAGGAGACACCGAUCCACCUGCUGUGUGGGGCGGGGGUUCCCAGGCUCAUUUCCUACCUGAGAGGAGGUUGUGGCUUCCUGGGGAGAAACACAGGUCCUGAGGGCUCAGCACGAGGCUGUCCCAAGGAGACAGAUCCGAGGCUGUGAUGCGGCCAAGUCUUGUCGCUUCUGGGCUGUGUAGGUCCUGAGGAGUUGAAGCAGGGAGUCUCAUUUUUUUUCUAAGUUGUAUUCUAUUUGUGUGAGAGUGAAGAGGGGAAAAGAGAGGGCUAGCGGAGGACGCCAGGACCCACUCGUGGUUCGGCCCCAGCCGAGAAGCUGCCCAGGAGCACGAGGAGGGCGCGGUCACCCUGCUGCAGCCCCUGGGCGUUCCCCAGGACCCAGAGGCCAGGGAGUACCUGGCGGGCCUCGGCCUGCUGCCAGGCACGGGGACCGAGGGGACGCCAGGCCCUCAGCCCCAGGAUCCUGCGUCCCUGCCCCAGUCCUCACAGAGCAGCAAGCGCCCCCCCAUAGAGGACGACUGCUCGGCUCUGGUGUUGAGUUGCCGUGACAGCAUGGCCGUCGACGUUUCCUCCUCCGCAGGAAGCGACUCCUUCGAGGCCCCCAGCCAGCCACUGCAGGAGUGGAGCCCUGCUCCCAGCGCCACCCCUGACUCCUCCCAAGUCUCCAGCCAGCCACAGCAGGAGAGGAGCCCUGCUCCCAGCGCAGCCCCCCAGCCAGCCUCCAAGGCGUCGCCCUCCAGCCCCAGUGCCAGGAGCCGUGUGGACCUCACAGAGCCAGAAGCCGCCGCAGCUGCCCGUGAGCCUGAGGGGGCUGGGACCACAGCCACCGCAGCCACCCACCGCUGACACCACAGCCAGUGCCCAGGGCAAGGGGCAGGGCCGGCGCAGGGUCGGCAGGAGGAUCCUCUGGUUCCUACUGAGGGCGUGCUGCAUCCUGCCGUCCCGAGGGAGCAGCUCUGGUCACUGCUGCUGCAGAAAAGCCCCAAGUAGCCUCGCUCCGCCCACAUCACCAGGAGCAAUGCGCAGGCUGAGCUCACUGAAAGUGUUUCUUUUCUUGAGCAUUUGCAAAUGUUCCCAAAAAUAAAAUUCAACUUCUUGU